rnacentral:rRNA from 1 species
GACGGAGGAUGCAAGCGUUAUCCGGAAUGAUUGGGCGUAAAGCGUCCGCAGGUGGCAGUUCAAGUCUGCUGUCAAAGACCGGGGCUUAACUUCGGAAAGGCAGUGGAAACUGAACAGCUAGAGUAUGGUAGGGGCAGAGGGAAUUCCAGGUGUAGCGGUGAAAUGCGUAGAUAUCUGGAGGAACACCGGUGGCGAAGGCGGCAUCCUGGACCGAGAUUGACGCUGAGGCGCGAAAGCCAGGGGAGCAAACGGG